UCAUGGCUCAGGACGAACGCUGGCGGCGUGCUUAACACAUGCAAGUCGAACGAGGUCCACUGCGUAGCAAUACAAGGGAAGACCUAGUGGCGAACGGGUGCGUAACACGUGAGGAACUUGUCCCGGUCUCUGGGAUAACAGUUGGAAACGACUGCUAAUACCGGAUGACGUCGGAAUCCCGCAUGGGAUACUGACGAAAGGGUUACUGGAUCGGGAGAGCCUCGCGGCCUAUCAGCUUGUUGGUGAGGUAACGGCUCACCAAGGCAUCGACGGGUAGCUGGUCUGAGAGGAUGAUCAGCCACACUGGGACUGAGACACGGCCCAGACUCCUACGGGAGGCAGCAGUGGGGAAUCUUGCGCAAUGGGCGAAAGCCUGACGCAGCAACGCCGCGUGCGGGAAGAAGGCCCUCGGGUUGUAAACCGCUUUCAGUAGGAACGAAAAUGACGGUACCUGCAGAAGAAGGUGCGGCCAACUACGUG
rnacentral:rRNA from 1 species